CCCUGCCCCCCACCUACCCCUCCACAGCUCCCUGCAGACGGCCCCCAGCCAUACCAUGCCUUUCAGGUGUUGCAAGACUAGGCCUGCCUCCUGCUCCACCUGCACGAUCUCCAACCACAGAAUUGUCUGGCUACGCUUUCUUGCCUCCUCCUCCUCCACCUCCCCCUCCACCUAUCUACCAAACCCAGUUUUCCAGUCAGGGGAAUGGCCAUCUGCACAGCCUGGAUGACUUUGAGUCCAAAUUUCAGUUUCACCCCUUGAAAGACUUGCCGCCACCCAAGGAGUUCUUUCCAUUUCCACGGAUUUACCCGAGCAAGUUGAACCGAGUGUCACCAAAGCCACCGCCAAUCAGGACUCACCUACGUUGAAUGGCUUUUGGACUUACCUGCAGUGAAAGGCUUAUAGACUCACCUGUGGUGAAUGGCAUGUCUUCCACCUCCUCCCCAUCUCAGAGGCAUCGUCUGAAAUCAGCCAGCGUCUGAGUAACUGACAUCCACAUUUACAACUUCACAGCAAAACCAAAGAACUGCAGAAUCUAGUAGGCAGAUGAGUGAUGUCUGAAGGCUGUUCAAAUAAGUAGAGUGAAGUGAGAAAUGAAUAACCUCUGUUGAUUUGUAGCUACAAUCAGCACCUUGUAAGCACACAAGACAUCUCUUGGGCCAAUACUGACUAGCAACACUCAGGUCUACAUGAUUUUGAUACUCUAUGGGUUUUAUGUAGUCAGUUAAAUUGUCCAAAAUGUAACUACUUUUAUAAAAGUUACAGCAAGAAAGCAGGAUGUUUCCAUUUUAUAGGUCGUUAUGCAUUUCAGCUCCUUGGAUAUCAUGUGGUUCUGUAACAGUAGAUUCUUUACACUGGCCAUUAACAGGAAUGAUGAAUCCUGCAUUUUGUUGUUGUGACUGAUGAAUCUAUUUUGUCUCUGUACUUAUUUGUUUGUGACACAUAUUGCUUGUAAGGCAGAAACUGAACUGACUUCUGUAUAUACGUUCCCCGUUCCACCUUUGUGAUAAUCAACCAAACAGAUUCAUUGGAGGCAAUGCCACCUUCUGGAAUACAUUUUUAUUUCAGGGGAUGUAAACCACAUUUUUCACCAGAGUAGAUACAAGUUUGAGCCCCUCUCAUCCAAACAAUAUUGUACUCUGAUUUAAUAGCUGUAUUGUCAAAAUGGUAAUGCAGGAAAAGCUGAAUUAUUAUGAAUACCAAAAAAAUAUGAAUACCAUUGGUGGUCAUAUGAAUUUCUGGCUUGAGAGUUUAUAUUGACUAUUUGUUUUCAUCCAUCCUCAUGUAAUGUGAAGUUUGUUGUUGAUGUUAAGAUUAUUCGUUGACAUAAAGAUAUUCAUUUCAUCAGUAAUAAUUAAUUGUAAUGACAAUAACAAUAUAAUUACAUGAUUAACAUUUUUAAAAUGUUUCAGUAAGAGAAUAAAUGUUAAAUGUGAAUUUGAUUUUAAAUAA